ACCGGAGAAGAGAUGUUAAUCUUUCUCUUUAAAAUUGGUUUUUGAGAAUCUGCUUUGGCAGAGUUUCCGAGUAAACAGCAGGAGAACAGGGCUACAGCCUCAACCGUAAUUCCUGGGGAUAAUCCCCCGCUCCAAGGAAAGAGGCAGAGUCUCCCACUAUUGCGCAGGCUGGAGUGUAGCGACCAUUCACAAGCAUGAUUAUAGCACCCUACAGUCUUGAACUCCUGGGUUCAAGUGAUCUUCCUGCCUCACCGGAUUAGCUGCGACCACAGCUGUGUUUCACCACAUCCAGCACAGUUUAUAUUUUACAGAAUUGAACCAUUUGCUGAAAACCAGUGGCUUUCAGGAAAUUAUAUCCAAAACAGAUCAGAAGGCUUUGGAUAGUUACAGACGAAGAGUUCUCCCCACCUCUUGCUCCAGUGCAAUGCUGACGGACAAGGCCGCCAGG